CGGGAACCCCGAACAUCCCCUUUCUCUACUCUUUCCCUUUGGAGUCUAUAGAGGGAGAAGCAGAGCCUAAGGCUUCAUCAGUUUGAAUACUGGCUGGGGCUGGGCAAGUUAGUGGCUCAAAGUGUUGAAUCUGUCCCUAAAGCAGGGACAGAAAUGGAGGCUCAGGAGGUAGAGGUGGCAGUGGGCGUGCAGGAGAAGCUGUAGGUCAGGAGGUAGAGGUGGCAGUGGGCGUGCAGGAGAACUGUAGGUCAGAGUGGAGAGGUGGCAGUGGGCGUGCAGGAGAAGCUGUAGGUCAGGGGGUAGAGGUGGCAGUGGGCGUGCAGGAGAAGCUGUAGGUCAGGGGGUAGAGGUGGCAGUGGGCGUGCAGGAGAAGCUGUAGGUCAGGAGGUAGAGGUGGCAGUGGGCGUGCAGGAGAAGCUGUAGGUCGGGAGGUAGAGGUGGCAGUGGGCGUGCAGGAGAAGCUGUAGGUCGGAGAGGGUGCAGAGUGGAGAACAGAUGAGCUGGAGUCACACCAUGCCCUAUACCCAGCCAGAGGCCGAAGUGAGCCUGUCACGGUAAUGCCACUGCCUGCUUGAUUCCCUCCCAUGCCUAGCCUGGGUUCUUCAUGAUCCCUGAGGCCCUCUUUGAUGUCAUCCCGCUGCCUCAAAACCUGUGUGUGCUGGUGGCUCCCUCUGCUUUCCUUCCAGAUGACUCCUUCGCUUCAGCUCAAAUGUCACCUUUGGCUGUUAAAAUCCUUUCCGGAGGAAGUUGUAAACAAUGCCUACCCCUCCUCCCGA
rnacentral:lncRNA from 1 species